UCUCUCUCUCUCUCUCUCUCCCCGAUUCUCUCUUUCUUCUUCUUUCUUGAUAAUCUUCCUCUUUCUUGUUCUAUUCUACCUUCUGUUAUUCUUUUCCUCAUUCUUCUUCUGCACUAUUUGGUGCUUUGAGAAACUGCUAUGUACCAAUAUUUUAAUCACAAUUAUUAACCAAACUUCAAAUGAUUUCUCAUAAAUUUCAAGGCUGGUGAAUUUUAUAGCUACAGGAUUAGUUUUCAACACUAGAUUAUGGGCCAUCAUUAUAAAGCUAAAUUUUGUCCACCCUUCUAGUCUUUUCUA
rnacentral:misc_RNA from 1 species